rnacentral:SRP_RNA from 1 species
GCUGGGCACGGUGGCAUGUGCCUGUAGUCCCAGCUACUCAGGAGGCUGAGAUGGGAGGAUCGCUUGAGCCCAGGAGUUCUGGGCUGCAGUGUGCUGUAUUGAUCUGGUGUCUGCACUAAGUUCAGCAUCAAUAUGGUGACCUCCCGGGAGCAGGAGACCACCAAGUUACCUAAGGAGGGGUGAGCCGGCCCAGGUCAGAAACGGAGUAGGUCAAAACUCCUGUGCUGAUCAGUAGUUGGAUAGCAUCUGUGAAUGGUCACUGCACUCCAGCCUGGGCAACAUAGUGAGACCCCGUCUCU